UACGUAGGGAGCAAGCGUUGUUCGGAUUUACUGGGCGUAAAGGGCGCGUAGGCGGCGCGGUAAGUCACUUGUGAAAUCUCUGAGCUUAACUCAGAACGGUCAAGUGAUACUGCAGUGCUAGAGUGCAGAAAGGGCAAUCGGAAUUCUUGGUGUAGCGGUGAAAUGCGUAGAUAUCAAGAGGAACACCUGAGGCGAAGGCGGGUUGCUAGGCUGACACUGACGCUGACAGCGCGAAAGCCAGGGGAGCAAACGGG
rnacentral:rRNA from 1 species